rnacentral:rRNA from 1 species
CAAGUCGAACGCGAAAGUCCCCUUCGGGGGGCGAGUAGAGUGGCGUCCGGGUGAGUAACACGUAGGUAAUCUACCUUCGGGUGGGGAAUAACGCAGGGAAACUUGCGCUAAUACCGCAUAAUGCAGCGGCACCACAUGGUGACAGUUGUUAAAGCGGGGGAUUUUCGAACCUCGCGCCUGAAGAGGAGCCUGCGGCAGAUUAGCUAGUUGGUAGGGUAACGGCUUACCAAGGCGACGAUCUGUAGCCGGCCUGAGAGGGCGGUCGGCCACACUGACACUGACAUACGGGUCAGACUCCUACGGGAGGCAGCAGUCGGGAAUUUUGGGCAAUGGGCGAAAGCCUGACCCAGCAACGCCGCAUGAAGGAUGAAAUCCCUCGGGAUGUAAACUUCGCAAGAAUGGGAAGAAUUAGCGAGCGCUAACACCGCUCGUGAUGACGGUACCAUUUGUAAGCUCCGGCUAACUCCGUGCCAGCAGCCGCGGUAAUACGGGGGGAGCAAGCGUUGUUCGGAUUUACUGGGCGUAAAGGGCGCGUAGGCGGUCAGCACAAGUCAGUUGUGAAAUCUCCGGGCUUAACUCGGAAAGGUCAACUGAUACUGUGCGACUAGAGUGCAGAAGGGGCAACUGGAAUUCUCGGUGUAGCGGUGAAAUGCGUAGAUAUCGAGAGGAACACCUGCGGCGAAGGCGGGUUGCUGGGCUGACACUGACGCUGAGUGCGCGAAAGCCAGGGGAGCGAACGGGAUUAGAUACCCCGGUAGUCCUGGCCUUAAACNAUGGAUGCUUGGUGUCUGGAGUUUUAUAGUCUCCGGGUGCCGUAGCUAACGCGUUAAGCAUCCCGCCUGGGGAGUACGGUCGCAAGACUGAAACUCAAAGGAAUUGACGGGGACCC